CCAGCAGAUGAGAGGGCCCAGCAGUCCAGCCCUUUUCUCGAUGACUGCAAGGCCAGGGGGUCCCCAGAAGAUGGGCCUCAUGAAGUCAGCCCCCUGGAAGAAAAAGCCAGCCCCACUACUGAAAGCGACCUCCAAAGCCAGGCUUGCCAAGAAAACUCCAGGUACACGGAGACGAGAUCUCUGAACUCGAGAUCACCAGAAUUCACCGAAGCGGAGCUGAAAGAGCCCCUUUCUUUGCCUUCCUGGGAACCAGAGGUGUUCAGUGAACUUAGCAUUCCUCUAGGAGUGGAGUUCGUGGUUCCCAGGACUGGCUUUUACUGCAAGCUGUGUGGCCUGUUCUACACAAGCGAGGAGGCGGCCAAAGUGAGCCACUGCCGCAGCACUGUACACUACAGGAACUUACAGAAGUACCUGUCCCAGCUGGCAGAGGAGGGACUGAAGGAGACAGAGGGGGUAGACAGCCCAAGCCCCGAGCGCAGCGGGAUUGGUCCACACUUGGAAAGGAAGAAGCUAUGAUACCGAGGCUGCCACCGUCUCUGGAAGGUGGAUGGGAAGCCUGCUGAGCUAAGGCCAGCCUGGUCUCAGGGACAGAACUGAGACCAGAGAAGAAGGAGAGCCAGGCAGGACAUGCUGCCGAGAUGAGAAAAACACCUUGAAGCCUCUCCAGGAGCUGGCUCACCCUUCCGGGCCCAGCCACCAAGGGUGACCAGCUUCCCAUGGCCUCCUGAUUCCUUUAGUCUGUUUUCCCUCUCUCCCUCUCACUAUCCCUUCUGUGCCAAAGUUUAUUUCCUUUUCAUAAAACCCAACUUCUCAGGG
rnacentral:lncRNA from 1 species